rnacentral:rRNA from 1 species
UACGGGGGGUCCAAGCGUUGUUCGGAAUCACUGGGCGUAAAGCGCAGGUAGGUGGCUUUUCAAGUCUGUUGUGAAAGCCCAGGGCCUAACCCUGGAAGUGCAGCAGAUACUGUUAAGCUUGAGUAUGGGAGAGGAUAGUGGAAUUCCUGGUGUAGUGGUGAAAUACGUAGAUAUCAGGAGGAACACCGGUGGCGAAGGCGGCUAUCUGGCCCAAUACUGACACUGAGCUGCGAAAGCGUGGGGAUCAAACAGG